CUUAUCGUCAUGAGUUCAAGCACAAACUCCGCUUCAGCUUACACCGCUCCGGCGUCGCAACAGGGACCUUACGUCCAGGCUCCGCCUCCCGCCGGCUAUCCCACCAUGAGAGCCGGCGACUCCGACUUGCCCCAGAGUCGUGUGGAGACCAAGUCCAAGGGUGAUGGCUUCUGGAAGGGCUGCUGUGCUGCCUUGUGUUGCUGUUGUAUGCUCGAUGCUUGCUUCUGAAAAUCUUGCUAAUGGUGCUUGAUGAUUCUCCGAUCAUCAGAGACCCUGUUUAUUUGUUUGAAUUUACAGUAUAUUGUGUGAUGAAGUUAAGGACAAUGUGGAUUGGAUGCUCAUCUACUUUGCUGAUUGAUUAUCCAAUAUCUAUCUUGUUCUAGCUUGCACAAUAAUUAUUCUUUGAAUCUGUAGUGAAUAUAUACAUUUUCUUUCACAGUUUUACUUCAUCAGUUCUCCUUCUCUUGUUUGUUGUACAUUGUCAAAUUUAUUCGUGUUUCGGCCACAAAUAAUACACGUACGUACGAUGGAGCUUUCUUUCUCAUCAAACCCGUCCUUCUAUUUUAUUCGUAUUAACAAAUACUGAUGAAUAUGUAGUCCUAUGUAUUUAGAUCAAGCCAUUUGUAUUUAACAUAAAAGUGCUGUUGUCUUUGGAUGAAGCAACAAGAAAUAACACAGCGCUACCUCUAAACUAGAAGAGUUAAUGUCACCUCUCUUUCGAAAAAAGAAGAAGACUACAAGAAAGAACACAAAUUUUUUCUAUAAUGAUCACCAUUGUGCUUCGAGAAGGGUCCUCCUAUCGGUACACGUUAGUAGCUUUUCUUAUAAGAAAAGAGAAAAGAAAAAGAAAAAGAAAAAUAAACAAAAAAGAAGAAGCUAUGUGUGAGAUGAAAAGAAAGACCAAUUUCUGGGAAAAAUUAGCACCCGAAGGACAGGGUACGUUAUCAAUCAUAAAGGAACCAUUUCAUUUCACUAACACAGUAAAUUUAUUGGUUUUCAAGCUAUACAAUCAUGAAGCUCGAUCAUUUCAAUCUUAGAUUUCAUUCUAAUCAAUCAUUCGGUUUUGGAUGGUCGUAAAGAUUAUUUCAAAAACAAUAAUGGUUGAUCAUAAAAUGAUUUCACGUUCGUAAAAUCAAUCAGCCGGUAAAUAGAAUAAGUUCAUGCAUAAAUCUUUUCUUUUUUUUUUAUUCAAAAUUCAUGCAUAAUUUUUUUUUUUUUUUGUGUGACAAGUUUCAUGCAUAAAUCUUAAAAAACAAACAAAAUGGCAGAUAAUUGGUUCGCACUCCCACGAUGACUUUUGACAUGUUGACCUGGUCUCUCUUGCAAUUCUAGCUUGUGUGAGCAAGAAAUGCGUUAAAGGAAAGUAUCUAUUUAUCUAAUGACUCAUAGUAUCAAUGCAAUAAAUAAUGCCAGUCAUAUGUAGAUUUUUCAUAUUUAUUCAUUUUUCUCUUCCACCGGACACAAUGUCUCAAUCUUACAAUCAUAUUUCUAUGUCUUGCAUGUCCUUUCAGCGUAAUUGGCUGUAUAAUUAAAAAUUAUCAUCGGAUAUUUCACACAUCAUUUAUUUGAAAAUGAACUCGUUACAUCAUCAAAAAUAUAGAACUUAAUUAUAAACAGUUUGUCGAUUGAUAAAACAAACCAAACCCUCAACAAGAAUUUAGCUAAUCCACUCGCUUAGCAUAUAUCAUGCUCUCAAUCUUCUGACUCACUAUUUAUUUUUAAGACAAAUGCUCAUUUAGUACUAAUUAUACGACAUUAAUUAAUUUUGACAAAAUUUCAAUUUGACAUCUACAUAUGCCAAGUGUGAUGUUCUUAAAAGUAUCCGCUGUAAAACACGUGUCGCCAAGCCAAAUAUCUAAAAUAAUUUGACCAAUAAUAUCAUUUGCUUACUACAAUAUCCUGCCUUGCAUUGUAAGCUUUUAACUCAUAAUAGCUAUGGUUUUUUUGGAAAACUUAAUUUAUUAUGGUGUAGAUGGCAGGCAGGCCUAUAUUUCUUGGUUUCAAUAGGACUCCUUACAAGCGUUGUUUCUAUCUACUAUUAUCUAAAAAUAAUCAAGUUAAUAAUGACUGGACGAAACUAAAAAUUUGUUUCAAAAUUAGACAUUUAAUCUAAACGUUUUCGUUAAUAAAUUAUUCUUAUAAUCUUAUCUUUUGUUUAUUAUUUAUUUUAUUUAGAGUAUUCCUUUUUUUAACUUAAGUAACAACGGAGUUUUUCGUUUCGUAGUUUAUUACUUUAUGGUCUCCUUUGACUUCGAUCUAUGGAUUUAACUAAAAAAUAACCCCGUCCUGUAGCUCAAAGGAUUAGAGCACGUGGCAUAAACCAUGGUGUCUGGGGUUCGAAUCCCUCCUCGCCCACAACCAGCCAAAAAGGGAAGAACCUUUCCUUUUGCGGGUAGGAAAAUCAUUAUCGGGAUAGCAGACCUAAAGCUAUGGAAUUUGGGUGUGGGUCUUUUGUCGAAAUGGAAUGGCCUUACUGUUUCUUUCUUUUUAUUUAUUAUUUCUUGUUAAUGCAGGUUAAUUAAGUAUAGUAUGUCCGGCACGAAUCAACAUAUGUUUUACGCCCCGUAAUUCUUCCUCAGCUAGGCUGGGGCAGAAUAGCAGAGCAAGUACAAGUAUUAUAUUAGUUAUUAGAAUAUUUUUGCUUCUCAUUUUGGAAAAUUAGCAAUAAUUUUUCUGUGUACUUCCGGAAAUCUGUUUCAUGUAGCUUGGCAAGGAAAUUUUGAGGCAUGGGUACAAAAUCUUUUACAUGUAAGACCUAUUGCUCACGCAAUUUGGGAUCCUCAUUUUGGUCAACCAGCUAUAUAGGCUUUUACUCGCGGAGGUGCUCUUGGCCCGGUGAAUAUAGCUUAUUCUGGUGUUUAUCAGUGGUGGUAUACGAUUGGGUUACUUACUAAUGAGGAUAUUUAUACUGUAGCUCUUUUUCUAUUAUUUUUUUCUGUCAUAUCCUUAAAAGCGGGUUACACCUAAGCAUUGCGCUAACCGUCCUUAUGUUAUGCUAAACCCACGCGUUACAGCCGACCGCGUAGAAUACACCGCCAUGCACCUUCUAGGAAAUGGAUUUUGGAUCUCUAUAAAAUCCCAUCAGCUAGAUUAUAUACUCCAUAACCCUAAACCCUCAAGUCUUGUAUCCCUUCUCUUCUAUCUGCAAGCAAACACAUCUCUAACUACCGGAACCACAUUGUUCAAACAUCAGAGAUUUAGAUCAUCUAUCAUCGACCAUGAGUUCAAGCACAAACUCCGCAGCAGCGUACACCGCUCCGGCUUCGCAACAAGGACCUUACGUCCAAGCUCCGCCUCCCGCCGGCUAUCCCACUCUGAGAGUCGAGGACUCCGACUUGCACCAAAUCCAUGGUCGUGUGGAAACCAAGUCCAAGGGUGAUGGCUUCUGGAAGGGCUGCUGUGGUGCCUUGUGUUGCUGCUGUAUGCUCGAUGCUUGCUUUUGAAGAUCUAAAAUGGAGCUAGCUUGAUGAUUCUCCGAUCAUCAAAGACACCUAGCCUGUUUGAUAUGUUUGAUCUACGCACAGUAUAUUAUGUGAUGAAAUUAUGGACAGUCAACAGUGUGGAUUGGAUCGAUGCUCAUAUACGUACUUCACUGCUGAUUCAUUAUCCAAGACUCUAGCAUGCAUGUCUUUCAAUCAUUUUCUUUUUGUUGAAUUGUAAUUCCUUUUUUAUGGUUCUACUUCAUAUAUCUUUUUCAUGGUUUCUCGAUCAUAAAUAAUACACAACGUAGUGUAUUUUGCUCCGAAUUUCUUUCUCAUCAAACCCCUCUUUCUAUUUUCUGUGUAUCAACUAAUGUAGUCCCAUUAAGCCAUUUGUGUUUUCUCCAAAGUGCUGACAAGUUCUUUUGUGAUCGAACAAAAAGCUUAAUUUAGCUAGAUUGCAAAGUCUGAUUCAAUCUCUAGCUUAGAUCGAGAUUUGAAGACAAGAUCCCAAACCUCAGCAUCUAAGACAAUAAACCGGUUCCUAACUUGGCUUGAAAACCACCGAAUCAAUAUGACUUGUGAUCGCCGGAUCUUUUUUAAUAGAGGCUUUUGAGCCUCUCUUUUUUUUUAAAAAAAACCUUAUUUCCCCCAUUUUCAAAUUUACCAGCACAUGAAUAUAAAAUACGCGCGUGUAUCACACCAUGCCAUUUCAAACCAUCAGGACAAGUACUCCUUUAAGGAAAGUUAGCAGCACGCCGUUGAUGCCAAGUCAAGUGAAACAAGUGUCUUAACGCGCGAGUUUGGCAUGUAGGAGAAAUUAAGUUCCAAAUAGGCACAAACGUAUCACAAUCCCUGAACAGGUGUAACAGGUAUAAUUUGAAUCUAAUUCUGCACACAGAUAGAUUAAUUUAUCGUAACAGUCUGAUCAUUAGCGAGGAGUUUUCCCCUGAGUUAGAGUCCAAGUAUUUAUAUGUCUUGACUCUUGAGCUAAUUAGCAAUCACACUCAGUUUCCAGAAAUAUUAAGAAAGAAUUAUAGGCAGACUUCACGCCAAAACCUCAUAUGCCAUCUAUAUGUUAUUCUUCAAAUCUGUACAUCAUCACCACAUCCAUCUAAGUGAUCUUAACUCAUGAAGAACGUGUGUGAAUGUGUGUAACAUAAAUGAAUAAUGUCUAGAGGAAGACGUGAAGAAAGAGAUCAUGUCACAACCAUUUUUUAUCCCAUAGAUGACAAAAUUUGGCUUCAAUAUAUAUUAAUUUGAUAGUCCGGUAAUUUAUUAAUAUGUUAAUAUCGAUCGAUCAUAGUAUAUUCCAGUGUGAAGUUUAUUGCAUAGCAUAACUAGGAAGGAAGCGGAGUUGUCAGCCACCUUUUGCUUGUCACUUCAAUGUCCACCAUCUAGAUUAGUGACACAUAUCUAUUUACGAAAAUUCUUGUAUGCACCAAAAUGCAAGUGAACUAAUUAACAUUUGUUAGGAAAUCUCAACCAUUGAUAGUUAUACUUAACUUUUAUUCAAAUAAUUAAAUAGUGUGAUGAAUGUAAUCCAAUAGUUUAUUUAUGUUGGUUUAAGUACACGUUGAUGCUUUAAAUUCUCUGUCAUCUAUUUAAUUAGCAACAAUAAAGUUAAACGAUUUGAAAAAGUUAGGUGUAAUUAAUCUAGAUGAUGGCAUAUUAAGAUGACCAGCCAUGCUUAUUUAAGUAUGACUUCGACGAUUAAUUAAGGUCCUAAUCAAGAUACUAAAAAUACAUGACACCAAAGAUAAUAUUUGUGCACGUGUCGACUUGUAGGAGGUUUCAUACUCAAACCGCCUUCUAAGCAAUAAUUAAUUACACGCGCCUUUAUGCAAUUAGGCUUGCGUUUCCUUAUAAGCUUUGCCUUCGUAUGUUAUCCUAAACCCCACACGCGUUCAGCCGACCGCGUACAACACACCCGCCGCCUUCUAGGAAACAAGCACUUCAUGGCGGAGUCUAUAUAAUCCCAUCAGCUCGCUCAUAUACUCCAUAACCUUAAACCCUCAAAUCUUCUCUGCAAGAAAACAAGUACAUCUCUACCAGAUCAUCAGCUAGUUUCGAAGAUCAUCUUAUCGUCAUGAGUUCAAGCACAAACUCCGCUGCAGCUUACACCGCUCCGGCGUCGCAACAGGGACCUUACGUCCAGGCUCCGCCUCCCGCCGGCUAUCCCACCAUGAGAGCCGGCGACUCCGACUUGCCCCAGAGUCUUGUGGAGACCAAGUCCAAGGGUGAUGGCUUCUGGAAGGGCUGCUGUGCUGCCUUGUGUUGCUGUUGUAUGCUCGAUGCUUGCUUCUGAAAAUCUUGCUAAUGGUGCUUGAUGAUUCUCCGAUCAUCAGAGACCCUGUUAGAUUUGUUUGAAUUUACAGUAUAUUGUGUGAUGAAGUUAAGGACAAUGUGGAUUGGAUGCUCAUCUACUUAUUGAUUAUCCAAUAUCUAGCUUGUACAAUAAUUAUUCUUUGAAUCUUUAGUGAAUAUAUACAUUUUCUUUUACACUUUUACUUCAUCAGUUCUCCUUCUCUUGUUUGUUGUACAUGGUCAAAUUUAUUCGUGUUUCGGCCACAAAUAAUACACAUACGUACGAUGGAGCUUUCUUUCUCAUCAAACCCGUCCUUCCAUUUUAUUCGUAUUAACAAAUACUAAUGAAUAUGUAGUCCUAUGUAUUUAGAUCAAGCCAUUUGUAUUUAACAUAAAAGUGCUGUUGUCUUUGGAUGAAGCUCGUCUAACAAGAAAUAACACAGCGCUAGCUCUAAACUAGAAGAGUUGAUGUCACCUCUCUUUUGAAAAAAGAAGAAGACAAUAACAAGAAAGAACACAAAUUUUUUCUAUAAUUACCACCAUUGUGCUUCGAGAAUCGUCCUUUUAUCGGUAACACGUUAGUAGCUUUUGUUAUCAGAAAAGAGAAAAGAAAAAGGAAAAUAAACAAAAAAGAAGAAGCUAUGCGUGAGAUGAAAAGAAAGACCAAUUUCUGGGAAAAAUUAGCACCCGAAGGACAGGGUACGUUAUCAAUCAUAAAGGAACCAUUUUAUUUCACUAACACAGUAAAUUUAUUGGUUUUCAAGCUAUACAAUCAUGAAGCUCGAUCAUUUCAAUCUUAGAUUUCAUUCUAAUCAAUCAUUCGAUUUUGGAUGGUCGUAAAGAUUAUUUCAAAAACAAUAAUGGUUGAUAAUAAAAUGAUUUCACGUUUGGUAAAUAGAAUAAUUUCAUGCAUAAUUUUUUUUUUAUUCAAAAUUUCAUGCAUAAAUCUUAAAAAAAAACAAACAAAAAUGGCAGAUAAUUGAUUCGCACUCCCACUAUGACUUUUGACAAGUUGACCUGGUCUCUCUUGCAAUUCUAGCUUGUGUGAGCAAGAGCUGCGUUAAAGGAAAGUAUAAAAAAUGAUAUAGUACCCCUAUUUUGAACAUAUACACAAAAAUAUAUAAAAAUAUAAGAUUUUGUUCUAAGAUAUUCUGUAUCUUUCUAGAUAUUCUUUAUGUCUGUCUUGACCUUAUACCAAUAAGAUAUGUAGUUAGACUAGAUUUGUGUAUUCAUAUCCUUACCAUAUUGGUAUUUUGUAAUUCCUUAUAUAAAGGGCUUAUAUCAAUGAAUAAGAUGAUGAUUCUCUUGCUAUCUCUUUGUCUCUACACUUUAUUCUUCAUCAUGUUAUCAUGCACUUUGUUCUAAGUUUAUAACUAAUAGCCCAUCAUUUUUUUCCCAAACUCUAAAAACCAAAACCGGAGGUUCUGGAUUGUGAUUAUCGUUGUGGGACGCCUCAAUGUCAAAUCCAAUCUAUAUAGAGAUCUCUACAAGUAUUACACUAGUGUACAUGAGGACGUGGGAUAAUGAGUCUACUAUCGAACCACCAUUCGUUGAUGGAUAUCAACUUAGUUGAUUGACCUAAUGGAAAGAUGCGAUCCAGCAUUAACAAAGAGAUAGGUCCUUGGGUAGGUGAUGCCGACACCGCAAGCUAAACCCUAUCAACUAUGUCUUUGUUAGAUAGCGUAGUGAGAACAAGAGUUUAGACUCACCUUAUGGCGCAAGGUCUUUCACUAACACGCACUGAGAUCGACUACUAUGAGAUAUUCUCUCGUAAUUAAUGGAUGUCAUUGAACUCCAUUACUUUGUCAAUUUGGUAGUUUCCAAAUAACUGAACAUGCAGCUUAUAAAUGUGGUCAUAAAAACAUCUCUACGGGAUCAGAGAUAUGCAUGAAUGUCUUGAAUAGACUUCAUUCAUCCGAAUCAAGUGGCUCCAGACCACAGGAGCACGCGUUUGGUAAAGGUAUUAAAACGCACAUGGACUCUACUUGAUUUGAAAGGGAUAUGGUGAAUUAUGCUUUUGCGUGUUCAUUCCGGAUUUACAUGGAUUCUUGAUGCCAAUAUGUAUCAACAUCCGAAGAAAAAGAUCUUGGGAAGACACGGUCUCGAUAAGGCACUCGAUGACUGUAUUGAUGAUGAUUUUCCAUCAAUCGACUUAGGCGCUCUAUAACUAGUGAGGCCUACAUAUACUCCCAUGAUUAGUCAAAGUCUAAAGAGAGAUCCGUUGUUUUGUCUAAAGCAAAAUGACAAAUAUGUGUUAAGAGAUGGAGUUAUCAUCUAAGUACAAUAAGACGCAUUAAUGUACUCAACACAAUACGAAAGACUUGACAUCUCAUUCGCUAUGAAAAGUUGUAAAUCUAAGUGUAGCUAUGCGCCCACGCAAUGCCAAUGUAAUGGCAGUAACUCCUUUUUCAAUACUUAAUGGUAUGAAAUGUCGAGGCUUAUUCUAUCCCUACAUAAGAAAGACACAUCAAAAGUGAAAUUAGAAUCUGCCAAGUUUUGUAGGUCAACUUCCACAGGACCUACAGGAAACCUCACUCACUGGAAAAUGGUGAAACUGGUACCAUUGGAAAUAUCUAUGUGUCUACUUUCCAGAGACACCAACCAUUUGAUCAUACCUAUCAUAUUGAGUGAGUUAUGGCCGUUUUCGUAAAGUAGGACGAAUCUGUCCGAAAAUCUGAUUUUGGCAAAACAGUCAACUUCAACGGGACUUUGUGAAUAGCUCCUGACGAACCAGAACGUGUGUAAUAUACGGUUAGAAAGCUAAAUGAGUCUAGUUUCCAAAACCGUUUACGGUUCAUUCAUAUGUAUUUCUUAGAGGAAGUUAUGACUGUUCUAGUAACUGAAGGUCAUGCUGCGCGAAAAUCUGAUUUCCUGCACGAACUUAUGUUUUGAGUUCACAAGCGGCCUUCUCCUCAAGAUCUAAGUGUAAAAGAUCAUUUGAGGACAAUACGGCAUGAUUUAGUUAAUCAUUGCCCAAUGCCACAUUUGAAGACAUGUUAAAGAGCAUUGACAUGCUAAGUUGUUGAAACUUCUGUGAUUAGUAAAAAUCAGGAAGAGCCUUAUGAUUGAUGUAAAGAUCAGGGGGAGGUGUAAACUUCAGAGGGAGUCUAACACAUACAUACAUGUUACUAUCAAAUGUGAAGGGUGCGUUGUACUCUUUUUCUCCUACGAUCAAGGUUCAGUUUUUCUCCCACGAUCAAGGUUCAGUUUUUCUCCCACAGGGUUUUUGUGACUUGACGAGGUUUUUGACGAGGCAACAGAUCAGCACCAUCGGCAUAUCAGCGCGCGGCACAAAGGGGAGUGUUCUAGGAUAUUCCAUAUCUUUCUAGAUAUUCUUUAUGUGUGUCUUGGCCUUAUGCCAAUAGGAUAUGUAGUUAGACUAGAUCUAUGUAUUCAUAUCCUUACCAUAUUACCAUAUUGGUAUUGUGUAAUUCCUUAUAUAAAGGGCUCAUAUCAAUGAAUAAGAUGAUGAUUCUCUUGCUAUCUCUUUGUCUAUACACUUUAUACUUCAUCAAAAAUAAAGUUUUUAUGACCGGAUUCUCAAGACCAAUGACGUUGACCAGACUCCGGUAACCUUUGACCGAGCUCCGGGGAUCAUUGACUGGACUCCGGGGGACAAUGACGGGACUCCGGCGAUCGUUGACCGAGCUUCUGAGACCAUUGACGGGACUUCGGGGGCCGUUGUGCUUUAGUUACUUAUAACAGGUCCUUAUUGAGGGCAAUAUGCCCACCUAUUGGGGUCAGUAGGACCUCCUAUUAGGGGCAGUAGGGGCAGUAUGACCUCCUAUUGGAAUCAGUAAGACCUCCUACUAGGGGCAGUAGAACCCUUGAACUUAAGAUAUAAGGUAUACAUGUAUCAAGAAAUGUAUUGAAAUGAAAGAAGUGGAGUCUCUAUAAUAUUCUAUAAGAUGUAAGACUGAGAAAAUAACUUAUAUCCAAAUCUACACCAAAAGAAUGAAAGCAAGUGACUCUUGAUGCCCUAAUUGAAGGACAAUAUGACAUACACAAAUAGCAUAAUAUUCCUUUACUAGGACAUUCUACUGAGGGCAAUAGGACCACCUAUUGGGGGCAGUAAGACCUCCUACUGGGGGCAGUAGGAGGUUCGUAGGGGGGGUCUAUUGGGGGCAGUAAGGGGUUCAUCGAGGGGUCUAUUGAGGGCAGUAGGGGGUUCAUCGGGAGGUCUAUUGGGGGCAAUAGGGGUCUAUUAAGAGCAAUAAGAGAUUCGUUACAGGUCUAUUAGGAGCAGUAUGGGGUUUGUCGGGGGUCUAUUGGGGGCAGUAGGAGGUCUAUUGGAGACAGUAGAGGGUCUAUCAAGGGCAGUAAACAUUUAUUCCCCUCAAUAGAUCUCAUCCCAACAUGAAAAUUAUAUUAUAAUAGAGCCAAGUCAUACAAAAAUACAAAAGACCUACCUUAAUCACUGUACAAAAUUACAUUAUCGUUUCACCCUCAUUAUUAAUUAUCCUCAUUACCCCAACCAUAUUGAUUCCCUCCUUUGUCACAAAGAAUAUCCAAUAAGGAACUGCAUAUUCACUUCAUCACCGACAUGGUCAAUAACAUUGCAGUAAAGCCUCAACCUCGCAAUACCUAUAAUCACAUUUCAACACCAAUAACAAUGAUUAAAACGAAACAUACAUGCUAUGCUAAUUUAUUCAUUUCAAACAGAUGUGAAUAGCUCUAGUUCAUCUAGAGUACCAUAAAUAUCAUAGACACCAUCAAUUUCCUGAAAUUGCUGAAAUGAGGUUCAGACACUAUACAAAUGACCAAAAGAAGCACCCCAUCAAUAUGUCUCUGCUGAAGGACAACUUCUUUGCUAACCUCAUAUCCAUCCACCACCUAUUUAAUGUAAUUAUGUCAUUAGAUCACCAUUAAUAUUGAAUAUUGAAUAUGAUUCUCUACCAUAAUUCAUAAAAUAAUUCGCAGAACACCAAAAAGAUAAAGAAGACUCAGAGGAGCAAUUACAGAACCUUGGCUACCUUGCUCUCAUCCUAACUACUGUUGUCGUAAUAAUCAUAUCAAUUAUUAUUGAGUGGUAGACACAAAAAGGUAGGGCAUGGUGUAACAACACUUACCUGCACAUAUGGCUUGAGUGGCUCGUGCAUAUCUUGAUCAUUGGCACAAGGCUCAAAAUUAACAUCCUGCAGUUUCUCUAUCACUUUAUCCGGAUGUGUUUGAGUAGAUUUCUUACUUUGCUCAGCAAACUGCUUCUACUUAGCUUCCUUCUCAAUUUGUCCCUGAUACUCCAAAGUUUCUUCAAGCUUUCUUUCCUCUUCCUUGAUCGAGUUCAAUUCUACGUCUAGAUUCCUCUUCUUGUUGCUUCAAGUCAUCACCAUUUAUAGAAACAACAAGCUCAGAAUCAAGAGGAUCACCAUGAGAUGCGACUAGAGAGGAACUGCAAUAGGAGGCACACCAAAUAUAGAUCAAACAGAGUAUACCCAUUAUAAGCAAUCAUAAUUAUGGGACUGUAGUAAUUGAUACAUAUGCACAUAAGAAACACAAGAAGACAUACUGCUCGGCAGACUCAUCAUGAUGCAUGUGCUCAUCUGAAAGACCAUUACCCUGCAAAAGUAGAGGAAAAAUUGUUGAAUAUCGAAUACAUAUUGACCCCACCCCAUUACAUGAACCAAAAGUAAAACACAAUCAAAUUCGACAUUACAAAGUCUAACAAGAACGUGCCGGAUCAGAAAACAAAGAAGGAGGAUAAUUGAGGUACCUCAAGGUUGAAGAGGUUGGAAUAGGAGAGAGAAUCCUUGGAUUGGCGCCGGUGUGGUCCGAACUCGAAGUAGAUCGGACUCAGAUGAUGAGGACGGUCGUUGGGUCGAAGUUUUUUGAUUGAGAAGGACGAUGCUAGACUGAGAACCAUAAAUGGAUUUGAAGUGAACGCCGUAUUGAGAAUGAUGCGAACGCCGAAUUGGGCCUCACCGAGCGUCGACGGUUUCAACGCCGACUGGGGCUUCACUAACCUAUUCCUUGCCGUCAACGACUAUCUCCUCUCUCUGGUUAGAUCUUUGCAGCUAGAGGAGAGGAGAGAGAGAGAGAGAGAGAGAGAGAGAGAUCUGUAGAAGACAGAGAAGGAAGAGAGAGGAGAGAUCGGGAAAAAGGAGGGUGUUAUGGUCAGCAAAAAUAAGUAUAAUGUUGAAAACUUUGUUUGCGUGAAUAACACAUUAACACUCUAACAGUGUCUAGGCUGAUGGGAAUUUUAAAAUUUGAUUUUAUUAGUGGAAAAAAAUUCACAUAAUUAGGACUAUUAGGAAUUUUUCCUUUAUUUUUAAAACAAAUACUCAUUUAGUACUAAUUAUACGACAUUAAUUAACUUUGACAAAAUUUCAAUUUAACAUCUGCAUAUGCCAAGUUUGAUGUUCUUAAAAGUAUCCGCUGUAAAACACGUGUCGCCAAGCCAAAUAUCUAAAAUAAUUUGACAAAUAAUAUCAUUUGCUUACUACAAUAUCCUGCCUUGCAUCGUAAGCUUUUGACUCAUAAUAGCUAUGGUGUCGGGGUGUCGUCUGUCUAAAACUGCCCUACAAACCCCACGCGACAUCAUACCCGCCGCGUAAAACCCACCACCACCUUCUUCGAAACAACCACUCCACCAAUUCCAUUCUCUAUAUAUAAUCGAUAAUCCCCUCUUCUUGUUCACCUAUCAUAUCCACCCAACAACCUCAAACCCUCAACCCUCUGCAAGCAAAUAUAUUUGAAGCUACUCCACCUGAUCAAUACAUUCGAAGUUAAUUCAUAUCUUAUACCAUCAUGAGUUCAUCAAGUACUAAUAACUCCGCAGCUGCGUACACCGCUCCGGCUUCUCAGCAGGGACCUUACGUCCAGGCGCCGCCUCCUGCCGGCUAUCCCACCACGGUAGACGGCUCCGAGGUGCCCCAUAGCGACGGUCGUGCCGAAACCAAGUCCAAGGGCGAUGGCUUCUGGAAGGGCUGCUGUGCUGCCUUGUGUUGCUGUUGUAUGUUGGAUGCUUGCUUUUGAAGGCUAUCCAUGGAUGUAUCUGAUUUCCUUUUGUAUAUUUGAUGUGUUUAUUCUUCUCUUGUAGUUUUUGAAUUAUGUAAAUCAUGGACCUUUUCCGUUGGAUACUCGAUCAAACUUUACUGAUUGAUUGAUAGAUAUCGUCCAUCUUAGUGGCCACUAGUUUACGGUUGAUUUUUUUUUAAUUUUAUUGUAUAUAUGGUCAUCUUAUCCAAUAAUACGAGAACGCCAGAACGGCGAUGUUUUCGGGCAACUUUUCCGACUGUGGAUUAUCAUUGUGGUCUCAUUUUCAAACAUAUUCGCAUUACCAAAUUGGAUGAGGAUGACUAGAUAAGGAGACUAAACCAAAGCGGAAUACUAAAAUUAUUUGACAAAUGAUCUUUGGCUGUGAGCUUGAAUUUGAGGUCUAGUUGAUACUUGCCACAACUGCCAUGGUCAAGUUUCAGAAACAAGGAGUACCCGGACGUACUCAGGCCAAGAAGAUUGCCAAGAUGGACAGUGUUUGCUUACAGUCACUUUUUCCAAAUUUUUGUCUAUUGGUCGUGUGUAAUGGUGCAUAAAAUCUUAGUUUAAGAUGCAGUAAUCUAGAUGACUAAGUGGAUGACCAACAACUCAAACUUCAAAAGUUUUAGUAAUGCGGUCACAAGUCUCGUCAUAAAACAAAAUGCCUAUUAUAACAGUUUAUUUCUCAUGCUCAUUAGAAUAUAGGACACUUGCAAUUUUAUUAUUUAAUUUUCAUUUAUGAAUCCUGAUCCUAUCAUAGUACCCGAGGUAGGGUUUCAUUCCGCCUCCCGCCACUAUAAACAUACAACAAUCAAAUUUUUAGUUGCCUCUGAUGUCUUACAACUCAAAUUAGAUGAAUUUCAAUUGAGUUUCUAUAAGAUGUUUGUGAAAGAAAAAAUAUAAGAACUAUAAGAUGAACACACAGAGAGAGGAUGUGAAGCGGACGUCCGCACUCCGGCUUAAAGUGCGGACGUCGUCUGUUCUCCGCCAUCUCACGUCGGCGACGGCUUCUCUCCUUCCCAAACCACAGCACAGGCUUCCAAGACGAUUUCUCUCAUUCCAGGACUGGCCGGCGACAAGUUUUCCGGCCGGAUUGAAACUCUAGACGGAAAACACCAUGAUUGAUCAAGGUUGGCCGGAAAACUUGUCACCGGCCAGUCUUAGAAAGAGAGAAGCCGUCCUGGAAGCUUGUGCUGUUGUCCGAGAAGGAGAGAAACCGUCGCCAGCGUGAGACGGCAGAGAACGGUCGACAUCCGCACUUUAAGCCGGAGUGCGAACGUCCGUUUCACAUCCUCUCCCUCUAUGUGUGUGUGUGUAUAUAUAUAUAUAUAUAGUUGUCACAUAAAAAUUGAGAUUUGAGAACAACAUAUGAUACUUUGAUUUUGCAUGUACGACUUCGGAUACGUUAAACAUAAGUGUGGAAAAGCACUUUCACCGAAUCGUAAAAACAAAAAGUUAGCAAACCAACUAACUGGAAUUGCCCCUAAAUCCAAGCCCAGUAUUGAAUCGACAAAAGCCAAAAUGGAAAGUGUUUCAUCAUCAAAAUUAAACCCUAUAAAAACAACCCCUAUUUACAAAAGCCCAGCCCAAAACUAACUAGGGUUUCUAUCCGCCGUCUCCUACUAUAUAUUUCUCACAAGCAGGUUUGGCUGCUACACUUCCGAGCUUGAGAGCUUCGUGAGAUUUGAGCGAGAGAGAAAGAAGAGCAGCGCCGCCGUCACCAUGGUGAAGUUCUUGAAACCCAACAAGGCCGUGAUCCUUCUCCAAGGUCGCUACGCCGGCCGCAAGGGCGUCAUCGUCAAGGCCUUCGACGACGGCACUCGCGACCGCGCCUACGGCCAUUGCCUGGUCGCCGGCAUCAAGAAGUACCCCAGCAAGGUGAUCCGAAAGGACUCGGCGAAGAAGACGGCGAAGAAGUCGAGGGUGAAGCCGUUCGUGAAGCUCGUGAACUACCAGCAUCUGAUGCCCACGCGCUACACUCUGGACGUGGAUCUCAAGGAGGUCGUCACCCCUGACGUGCUCACCAGCAAGGACAAGAAGGUCACCGCCUUGAAGGAGACCAAGAAGAGGUUCGAGGAGAGGUUCAAGACCGGGAAGAACAGGUGGUUCUUCACCAAGCUCAGGUUCUGAGCCCUGCAAGCGAAAACGGCGUCGUCUCUGGAAAAUGGUUAUGGCUUUGCGCUUUUUAAUUUUUCCAGUUGAUUUUAGUAUUUACUGUUUCGGAAUAGAACCUGUGUGGAAGACUAUUAUUAUGAUGGGUUGCUAAACAAUGUCUAGUUUUAUUUAGUUGUUAUUGCUGAGAUAUUCUAUUUGGGCACAUCGGUUUUGUUUAAUUUACCUGCAGAUUUAGAUUACGAGUUGUUCUUGUUUGUUGUGCGAUUCGUUUAAAAAUGUGGUUGAUUUACUCCAUGAGAUUGUGGUUUAGGGUUUUGGAGAUGUGGUUUGUGGAUUUGUGGUUAUUAGAGGAGCAGGAUUUGCAAAUUUCAUGAGAUAAAUUAUUAUUAUUGUAUUGUGGUGUAGAGUAAUUAUUGCAUUUGUUGAUUGCAUGGGUUUUGGGCUUUAGGCAUCUUAAAACUGGUUUGCUCUAUUGCAAUGUAUGAGUAUUGUGGCAACUGUUUGUGCAUUGCAAGUAGAUUUUGGAUUGAGGAUUAGGGUUUUGUUGAUGGUGUACUUUUGUUGAGCAGCUUAGGCUACUCUGACCAUUACGGUUUUGUCUUCAUGCCUCUCUUGGUUUACAAGAUUGCCUGGAUGAGGGGUGUUUUGUUCUUUUCAUAGUUGUUAACUUUGGUUUCGAAUUUCUCAACAAUAAUUAAUAGUCAAAGUCAAUCUGAGCUUGAGUUUCAGCAUAUAACUGGAGUUGUUAAGACUGGUAGUGAUUUUAUGUCCUGAAAUGUUUGUGCUCGUUGGCUGAAUUGAUUUUAGUAGGAAACUGAUACCGGUGUUGAAAUUCACGAGUAAAGGAUGUAGUUUUGCCAAGUUGAGUUCUUUUGGUCAGAUAUUGAAUGGCAUGAUCAUCUCCAGUCCCUAUAUUGUUAACAGUAUAUGUAACAAAUGUGGUAUUGUUACAUACCUAGCUUGAU
rnacentral:lncRNA from 1 species